AUUGAACGCUGGCGGCAGGCCUAACACAUGCAAGUCGAGCGGAUGACGGGAGCUUGCUCCUGGAUUCAGCGGCGGACGGGUGAGUAAUGCCUAGGAAUCUGCCUGGUAGUGGGGGACAACGUUUCGAAAGGAACGCUAAUACCGCAUACGUCCUACGGGAGAAAGCAGGGGACCUUCGGGCCUUGCGCUAUCGGAUGAGCCUAGGUCGGAUUAGCUAGUUGGUGAGGUAAUGGCUCACCAAGGCGACGAUCCGUAACUGGUCUGAGAGGAUGAUCAGUCACACUGGAACUGAGACACGGGCCAGACUACUACGGGAGGCAGCAGUGGGGAAUAUUGGACGAUGGGCGAAAGCCUGAUCCAGCCAUGCCGCGUGUGUGAAGAAGGUCUUCGGAUUGUAAAGCACUUUAAGUUGGGAGGAAGGGUUGUAGAUUAAUACUCUGCAAUUUUGACGUUACCGACAGAAUAAGCACCGGCUAACUCUGUGCCAGCAGCCGCCGUAAAAC
rnacentral:rRNA from 1 species